GCCCUUUUAAUAAUAUUUCUUCACUGUACAUAUAUCCUGAUUCAUGGAACGAAGCCUUUUAUGUCAGACUCCAACUUGUCUUACCUACCCCAGUCUGCAUCACACUCUUCUGUCUUCCAAGCCUUGCUCUGCUUUUCUCUGACACUGUAUAACCUUAAGUAAUUUCCAAGCCAUGCUACUUCCACUUUGGCCCUUAUUCCCACUUCAUCCUAAGACCUAUACCUGAGACCACUCUGGCAUGAAAACACUUCUCCGACUGAGUUGGAAUAGGAAAUUGGCAGGUUAAAGAUUGGAUAAACCCCUGGUGGCCUUUAAAAAGCUAGGCCUGACAGCCUGAGAAGCAUUAAAGAUGACUCCCAGAUCCAUACUCUGAACCAGGAGGAUAUGGGGAUGAAGUCAGGGUGGAGGUGGCAUGGAUUGAAGAUAGUCCAGAAUUGAGGUCUGUUGAGGUUUAGGGGUUCAGGGGUGCUGGGACCUCAAAAUAUCAAAAGCAAGAGACAUGGGUCCUGCCUGAAUGAAUUUAACCCAAGCCUUCUUUCAGCUUCAAGGUGGCUGAAGAAGCUGCUGUGGAGAGCUUAGGAUCAGACAUCAAAGACAUCUAGGUCAUCUACAGCAUCCGUGGACAUUGCCUUUUGUCUUGACACUGGACUUUGAUGACUCUGGAAUACAGCGUGAGGCUGACAACUUUGUGCAACUCUGCUUCACUUAAAUUCAAUUCAUGCUCAAGUCAAGCUCUCCCCCCAUGGUAUAAAUGGUCCUCUUCAAAAACAAAGGAUGAACAAGAACAAGGAGGAAGAGGAGGCAGAUGCAUAGAAUGAAUUUACAUGAGAAGUAUUCAGCAAGCAACUGGAUUAGUCACCAAGUCCCAAAUGUUUAUAUUGAAGAACAUUUUCCCCAUUUACUAAACCUUUUUGGCUCUUCUUUAAGGUACCCUGAAAUACACCUGUGAGCCUAUUGAGUACCUGCGACUGCUGUUCCAGAAGAAAUCUGGGGGAACUGUGAAUGGACAAGGGUGACCUCUUUUGGGUGAUACUCUAGCUUUUCCUUGUUUCACUUUUGAUAAUUUUUAUCUGUGCUCAGACCAAUUACCUAUUUCCCAGACAAGUUAAUCAUUUCCUUUGCCCUAGAGAAUGCUUACUCUUCUACUUCUACUUACAUUUUUGCUUUAUGUUGGAGGCAUCAAGCAAAAGCCCUGGGGGGAAAUCUGUCUCUUCUGGAGAGGUGAGGUGGUAGGAUGAGGCAGGAUUACAAACUCUUAGGUCUGCCUCCACCACCCCCAAGCACUUUCUUAUAGGAGGUCUGCUGCACAGCCCACCAGGCCACCUUUCCCUGCAGUAACUGAGCAUGGGCCUGCUAAGGCUUCUUCUUUUGUCCUGGCCACACCUUUGUGGAACUUCUUUAAUACCACUCCUUUGAUUCCCUGUUUUAUGGCUGGCAAUGACUUCCAGUGUUCGACACAAUACAUGUAUCAAGUUGUGAGUGGCCCAUGUGAAAGUGUCAGAUUCACCUACCCACUUUGCAAUGGCGCAAAGGCCAUUAAUUGCAUACUUCUCUACUUUUUUACUGGUGCGUUUCAGCCAGGACCCCCUAAAAAGUCCUAGCCAACUGCUCCAGAACCUCAACACCGUGCUGCCAUCCCACAACCAGACUCACCUUUGGAGUCUUGUGGCCAGGAUGCCUGGAGGCACCAAUAUCAUCUGUGGACCCUGGGGGUGUAUCUUCUGUGAGUUUAAAACACCUCCAACAGUGAUACCCCUCAGGUGUUUUCACCGCCCAGUGCCUCACCCCAUAUAAGCAGUAUAGACUAGUACCCUGGGCUGCUUAUAUCCCACCAUUUCUAUCAAUAAGGCAUCUACCACUAGUACUCCCCACCAUAGAAAGCACAGUUUCUUUGACAGAUUUUGGGAAGAGUGGGGACCUUCUUGGUCCUGUACUUAGGCUAUUUAGAACUUAAUUAAGUCCUUGUUAAUCUUACUUUAGCCAUUGAAGACCUCGCCCAGGACCCCUCCCAAUCUCUUCAAAAAGUUCCUUGAUUCCUUGGCCAAUGUGGUCCUCCAGGGGUGGGGAACCUUUGGCCUCAAGGCCACAUGUGGCCCUCUAGGUCUUCAAAUGAGGCCCUUUGACCAAUCCAAACUUCACAGAACAAAUGGGGAUUUGGAUUCUGGUCAAAGGGCCUCAGUUGAGGACAAGCCACAUGUGGUUUCCCCACCCCUACUAGACAAUCACAUUACUUUGGAUUACCUCCUAGUCUCAGCAGGGAGUGUCUGUGCCUUGGCCAACACCUCCUGUUGCAUCUACACUAAUAAUUCCUGCCAGGUUGAACUAAGGACUGAAUGCAUCCUCAAGGAAGCCAGAUGGAUAAAAGACCUCGGCCAGCAACUUCUUUGAGGGGAUUCCAGAGCAAGUUCCUGGUUCUGACCCUUCUCUCACCCUUGCUAACCCCCCUUUCUUAUUAUCCUUUUAUUCCUGAUACUUGGCCCAUGCAUCCUGAAUCUCCUCACUAGGUUUGUAUCCUCUAGGCUGUAGUCUAUUAAACUACAGAUGAUAGCCCAGGACGGCUACACUUCCAUAGAGACAUCCCAACAUCCCCCGGAUUACACAUAUGCUCAGUUUAAUUCAUCUUUCCCUUCAAGGGAGAAACCCAUUUAAGCAGGGACAUCUCUACCACCCUUGUCAGCCUGAAACAGUGGCAGAAGAGACCUUCAUCCCCUUUUCCCCAAAUGAAUUUGGGUACCUACUUCUUGAGGAGGGAGAUGAUGAGAUUAGCUGAAGCCUUUCUGGAGAUGAUGAGAUUAACAGGGGCCCCUCUGCCCUGGGCAAAUGGGCUGGCAAGUACAGCCCCUUUACUGCAUAUGCCUGAUUACCUCAUCUCCCUGCCCACUUGGCAGGUUUCCUCAAUAAAAAUCUUUAGUUUCUCCUGACUGGGCAGCUGUCUCCCUUAAGGAGAAAAGCCCACUGGGUGUGUUACUCCAAAGAAACACCUUUACUUGAUUUGGAGAUAGCCUGAGCUUGAAUUCUUUCUAGAUGACUCUGUGACCCAUGCCCUUGCCCCUCAACAUCACUGGUGAAAAUUUUGAGUAUUAUGUCCCAACCUCAUUUUCCCCAUAACUCGUGUGUUUUUUAAUUACAUGAUUUUGCAUGCAGAAAUGCUUUUUGGGAACACAUGUGUUUGCUUUAGGUCAGCUGAAAGAAAGACAAUCCCAGCUCUCAAGGUACUUACAUUCUAACUGGGGAAAACAAGAGUAGGGGGAGGAUCAGAAUGAAGGUACUCAGCACUGGGGCAUAGUAGACAAAGUCCUGUGGAGAGUGAGGAGUGCAGCACGGAGAGGAAUGAAGGCACUGUUGGCCUGGGCCUCCUCCUUAAAAUGGAGGGUCUCAGAGAAGCAAGCUAAUCAAAGAGAGAGGCAGAGGAUACUCCCAAUGUGAAAAGUAGUCCAGGGAAGGAGUGAGCUUCUAGGAUGAAAAGGUUUCUAUGACAUGGUAGACAAAAUCCUGCAGAGAGUGAGGGGUACAGCCUGGAGAGGAAUGAAGAAAUGAUUGACCUGGGUUUCCUCCUUAAAAUGUAAUUUCUAAAUGUCUCCAAACUGGGAAAUGAUUGAUUUACCUUUUAUAUAUUAAUGUGUUGAGACAACAAUGAAAUUAAGAUUGAUAACUAUGAGAAAUAGAAAGAACUAGGUAGAACUUGAUGAAAUAAUAAGAAGCAGAGAAAACAGAACCUGAAGAAUGGAAUUACACUGAAGCAAUAUAAAAAGAAAAAUGCAUAGGGGAAAACGAAGUAAGGAAGCUGAAGGCGACUAAUGCCUCCCCUGCACCCUAGUUAUUAGUGCCUUUUCCCCUCCUGAAAAAAUAUUGUGUUUACUUAUCUCUACAUGUAAACCCCUUGGGGAAUGUAAGAUUCUUGAGGGAAGGGGUUGCUUUUCAUUUUUAUCUUUGUAUCUGCAGCACCUAGCAAAACACAUCAUACCUUUAGGCCCUAAACAAAUGAUCGUUGAAUUAAAUUGAAAGCAGAGAGGCAGAAGUAUGGAAAAAAAAUAAAUAACUUUGCUAUU